GAUGAACGCUGACAGAAUGCUUAACACAUGCAAGUCAACUGUGGCGGACGGGUGAGUAACGCGUAAAGAACUUGCCUCACAGUUAGGGACAACAUUUGGAAACGAAUGCUAAUACCUGAUACUGUGAGAGAGCUUUGCGUCCCAUUAGCUAGUUGGAGAGGUAACGGCUCACCAAGGCGAGGAUGGGUAGCCGGCCUGCGAGGGUGAUCGGCCACAAGGGGAUCGGGACACGGCGCUUACUCCUACGGGAGGCAUGAGUGGGGACUAUCGGACAAUGGACCAAAGUCUGAGCCAGCAACUCUGUGGGCACGACGCAGUUUUCGGAAUGUAAAGUGGUUUCAGGUGGGAAGCGGUACCAACAUAAGAAGUGACGGCUAAAUACGUGCCAGCAGCCGCGGUAAUAC
rnacentral:rRNA from 1 species